rnacentral:SRP_RNA from 1 species
GGUCCGGUCCCAUGCAAUGGGACGUUUUCGAACCGGGUCAGGCCGGGAACGGAGCAGCCCUAAGAUCCACGGCCCAGGUGCGCGGUGCCCGGACCCAC